rnacentral:rRNA from 1 species
CCUACGGGUGGCAGCAGUGAGGAAUAUUGGUCAAUGGGCGCGAGCCUGAACCAGCCAAGUCGCGUGAGGGAAGACGGCCCUACGGGUUGUAAACCUCUUUUGCCGGGGAGCAACGGGCGCCACGUGUGGCGCCACUGAGAGUACCCGGAGUAAAAGCAUCGGCUAACUCCGUGCCAGCAGCCGCGGUAAUACGGAGGAUGCGAGCGUUAUCCGGAUUUAUUGGGUUUAAAGGGUGCGGAGGCGGAGCGUUAAGUUAGUGGUAAAAUUGAGGGGCUCAACCCCUUCCCGCCAUUGAAACUGGCGCUCUUGAGUGGAAGAGAGGUAUGCGGAAUGCGUGGUGUAGCGGUGAAAUGCAUAGAUAUCACGCAGAACCCCGAUUGCGAAGGCGGCAUGCCGGCUGCCUACUGACGCUGAAGCACGAAAGCGUGGGGAUCGAACAGGAUUAGAUACCCGGGUAGUC